rfam:Gymnopus luxurians FD-317 M1 unplaced genomic scaffold GYMLTscaffold_84, whole genome shotgun sequence.
GUCCGCGUAACUCAGUGGUAGAGUGUGAGAUUGCAAUCGAUAGCUGCAAAUACUUGGAACAAUCUUGAAGUCGCGUGUUCGAACCACGCCGCGGACU